GGGGGUGUGGUGGAAUGGUAGACACAACAGACUUAAAAUCUGUUGGCUAUGUUAGUCGUGAGGGUUCGAGUCCCUCCACCCCCA
rnacentral:tRNA from 1 species